ACUCCUACGGGAGGCAGCAGUGGGAAUAUUGCACAAUGGGGAAAGCCCAUCGAUGCAGCCAUGCCGCGUGUGUGAAGAAGGCCAUUCGGGCUUGGUUAAAGACACUUUUCAGCGAGGAGGAAAGGGUGUGUGUUAAUACCAUACAUCUGUGACGUUACUCGCAGAAGAAGCACCGGCUAACUCCGUGCCAGCAGCCGCGGUAAUACGGAGGGUGCGAGCGUUAAUCGGAAUUACUGGGCGUAAAGCGUGCGCAGGCGGUUUGUUAAGCGAGAUGUGAAAG
rnacentral:rRNA from 1 species